CAAAUGAAUUGACGGGGACCCGCACAAGCAGCGGAGCGUGUGGUUAAUUCGAUGCUACACGAAGAACCUUACCAGGGUUUGACAUGCAAGUGGUAGGAAUCUGAAAAGGGACCGACCCUUCGGGGAGCUUGCACAGGUGCUGCAUGGCUGUCGUCAGCUCGUGUCGUGAGAUGUUCGGUUAAGUCCGCUAACGAGCGCAACCCUCACUGUGUGUUAUAUGUGUCACACGGGACUGCCGGUUUUAAGCCGGAGGAAGGUGGGGAUGACGUCAAGUCAGCAUGGCCUUUAUAUCCUGGGCUACACACACGCUACAAUGGUCGGUACAAUAGGUUGCCAAGCCGCGAGGCGGAGCCAAUCCACAAAGCCGGCCUCAGUUCAGAUUGUAGGCUGCAACUCGCCUGCAUGAAGAUGGAGUUGCUAGUAACCGCAGGUCAGCUAUACUGCGGUGAAUACGUUCCCGGGGCUU
rnacentral:rRNA from 1 species